rnacentral:rRNA from 1 species
AGCAGCCGCGGUAAUUCCAGCUCCAAUAGCGUAUAUUAAAGUUGUUGCAGUUAAAAAGCUCGUAGUUGAAUUUCGGGAUCAAUAUAUUGGUCGUGCCUCCGGUACGUACUGGUAUCGUUGAUUUCUACCUUCUGACGAAACCAUGAUGUCAUUAAUUUGGUGUCAUGGGAAAUCAGGACUGUUACUUUGAAAAAAUUGAGUGUUUAAAGCAGGCACACGCUUGAAUACAUUAGCAUGGAAUAAUGAAAUAGGACGUUCGAUUCCUAUUUUGUUAGUUUCUAGGAUUGACGUAAUGAUUAAUAGGGACAGUUGGGGGCAUUAGUAUUCAAUUGUCAGAGGUGAAAUUCUUGGAUUUAUUGAAGACUAACUACUGCGAAAGCAUUUGCCAAGGAUGUCUUCAUUAAUCAAGAACGAAAGUUAGGGGAUCGAAGACGAUCAGAUAUCGUCGUAGUCUUAACCAUAAACUAUGCCGACUAGGGAUCGGGAUGAUUGUUAAUUUUUAANGACUCU